GCCAGGCCUGGUGGCACGGGUCUGUAAUCCCAGCCACCAGGAGGCUGAGGCAGGAGGAUGGCGAAUUCAAAGCCAGCCUCAGCAAAAGCAAGGGCCUAAGCAACUCAGUGAGCCCCUGUCUCUA
rnacentral:sRNA from 1 species